UACGUAGGGUGCAAGCGUUAAUCGGAAUUACUGGGCGUAAAGCGUGCGCAGGCGGUUCUAUAAGACAGAUGUGAAAUCCCCGGGCUCAACCUGGGAAUGGCAAUGGAUACUGGCAGGCUAGAGUGCGGUAGAGGGUAGUGGAAUUCCCGGUGUAGCGGUGAAAUGCGUAGAGAUCGGGAGGAACACCAGUGGCGAAGGCGGCUACCUGGACCAGCACUGACACUGAGGCACGAAAGCGUGGGGGAGCAAAACAGG
rnacentral:rRNA from 1 species